GACGAACGCUGGCGGCGUGCUUAGCACAUGCAAGUCGAACGAUGAACCCGGAGCUUGCUCCGGCGGAUUAGUGGCGAACGGGUGAGUAACACGUGAGUAACCUGCCCUUGACUCUGGGAUAACUGCGGGAAACUGUAGCUAAUACCGGAUACGACCCUCGGCGGCAUCGCCAGGGGGUGGAAAGAAUUUCGGUCAAGGAUGGACUCGCGGCCUAUCAGCUAGUUGGUGAGGUAACGGCUCACCAAGGCGACGACGGGUAGCCGGCCUGAGAGGGUGACCGGCCACACUGGGACUGAGACACGGCCCAGACUCCUACGGAAGGCAGCAGUGGGGAAUAUUGCACAAUGGGCGCAAGCCUGAUGCAGCAACGCCGCGUGAGGGAUGACGGCCUUCGGGUUGUAAACCUCUUUUAGUAGGGAAGAAGCGAAAGUGACGGUACCUGCAGAAAAAGCACCGGCUAACUACGUGCCAGCCGCCGCAGUAA
rnacentral:rRNA from 1 species